rnacentral:rRNA from 1 species
UUAACAAAAACAUGUCUUUUUGUUUAUAAUUUAAAGUCUAAUCUGCCCACUGAGAAGAAAAAUGGCCGCGGUACUUUGACCGUGCAAAGGUAGCAUAAUAAUUAGUUUUUUAAUUGAAAGCUGGAAUGAAUGAUUGAAUGAGAAAAUUACUGUCUCAGAUUUAUUUAAUUUGAAUUUUAUUUUUAAGUAAAAAAGCUUAAAUAAGAUUAAAAGACGAGAAGACCCUAUAGAGUUUGAUAAAUUGGUAAUUUAAAAUAAAUUGUUUAUAUAAUUUAAAUAGUCUAUAUUUAUUUGGUUGGGGUGAUUAAAAAAUUUAAUAAACUUUUUUUAUUAGUUUACAUUUAUAUAUGAAUAAUUGAUCCAAAGUUUUUUGAUUAUAAGAAUAAAUUACCUUAGGGAUAACAGCGUAAUUUUUUUUGAGAGUUCUAAUCGAAAAAUAAGAUUGCGACCUCGAUGUUGGAUUAAAGUAAAAUUUUGGUGUAGAAGCUAAAAGAUUAGUCUGUUCGACCUUUAUAACUUUACAUGAUCUGAGUUAGACC